rnacentral:rRNA from 1 species
CCUACGGGGUGCAGCAGUGGGGAAUAUUGCGCAAUGGGCGAAAGCCUGACGCAGCGACGCCGCGUGAGGGAUGAAGGUCUUCGGAUCGUAAACCUCUGUCAGCAGGGAAGAACGGUCACUGUGCUAAUCAGCAGUGAAUUGACGGUACCUGCAAAGGAAGCACCGGCUAACUCCGUGCCAGCAGCCGCGGUAAUACGGAGGGUGCGAGCGUUAAUCGGAAUUACUGGGCGGAAAGCGCUCGUAGGCGGUAUGUCAAGUCAAGGGGGAAAUCCCCGCGCUCAACGUGGGAACUGCCUUUGAAACUGGCAAACUGGAGUGUGUGAGAGGAUAGUGGAAUUCCAGGUGUAGGAGUGAAAUCCGUAGAUAUCUGGAGGAACAUCAGUGGCGAAGGCGACUAUCUGGCACAUAACUGACGCUGAGGAGCGAAAGCGUGGGUAGCAAACAGGAUUAGAUACCCGGGUAGUC